UGGCAUCGGACGGCAGGACAUUAGCAUUGGUGCGAAGUAACGUGGACUAAUGCUCUGGCGUUAUCAUCCUGCUACGGAGGUCCGUUCACCAGGACCAGCAAUCGUUGCUUUAACAUGGAAAACAGAUGAAAAGACCAAGAAUGACCUCCAGAUGGAAAAGCAGCCACACGUGUGGAAACUGUGUACGUGUGUUUCGGCGUUCGGGUCUGCCGUGAGAAGCGUGUGACUGACAGAAUGAGGUCACCUCUGAUGGGGGGACCUGAGUGCGAGGAUGCCGACCUCCACAUACCACUUUGGCUCGUUACCCAAUGUUUCCCCUGCAUACAUCCAGCAGUACUGCAGUAACGCCGCUGGAAAGAUAGUGCCACUGCAAUCAGCCAUGUGAAAAAUAAACCAUUUUUUAUUUGAAA